CACGUAGGGGGCAAGCGUUGUCCGGAUUUAUUGGGUUUAAAGGGUGCGUAGGCGGUCCUAUAAGUCAGUUGUGAAAUACGGCAGCUUAACUGUCGAGGUGCAAUUGAUACUGCAGGACUUGAGUACAGAUGAGGUAGGCGGAAUUGACGGUGUAGCGGUGAAAUGCAUAGAUAUCGUCAAGAACACCGAUAGCGAAGGCAGCUUACUGGGCUGUAACUGACGCUGAUGCACGAAAGUGUGGGGAUCAAACAGG
rnacentral:rRNA from 1 species